AGCAACUGGAUAGGAGCUGUAUGCUUAUAUCAGGCUGUGAGCGUGAGCGACUGGAUAUUAGCUGAGCAGCUACUAGUCACACCUCACACUAAUGGUGACGUCGUCUCUUACUGCACAUGGUGAGGACUGUGCACCAAAACAAAUGGUGGCAGCGGUAAACCGCGGGGAGAACGGCUGCAGACUCUCGGUGGAGCGGACGCCACCCUAAUGACCCCAGACAACACUGAAGUCAGUCAAGGUGAACCGACUGCAGCAGUUUCGUCACAGCGGUGUACCAGCAGAAGUACCAGUGUCAAACCUUUCGGUCACUGCUUUCUAGGGCUGUUCAGAAACUCAAACUACUCACAAAAAGCUUAAUUUAGUCUUCAUGGACGACAAUGCUCCAGCUCAUCGAGGUCACAUCAUUAGGGAACGGCUGCUGGAGAUUGGGGUACCUCAAACGGAGUGGCCUGCACUUUCUCCAGACCUAAAUCUUAUAGAAAACCUGUGGGAUCAGCUGAGUCGCUGUGUAGAGGCUCUUAACUCUAACUCUGUACCCCAGAUCCUCAGUGACCUGAGGGGCCGCCCUUGAAGAGUGGGAUGCCAUGCUUCAGCAGACAGUGAAUCGACUUGAACAGCAUGACGUCGUUGUCAAGCUGUAAUUGAUGCUCAAGGGCACAUGAAACGUUAUUGAGACAUUGACAUUUUAUGUUGGGGUAUAUGAACUAAUUAUGUUUUCCAUAAAUUUCACCCAAAAGUCAAA